GGUUCGAUGGUGUAGUUGGUUAUCACGUCAGUCUAACAUCGUUAGUCCACUGAAGGUCUCCAGUUCAAGUCUGGGUCGAAUCA
rnacentral:tRNA from 1 species